rnacentral:rRNA from 1 species
CCUACGGGUGGCUGCAGUGAGGAAUAUUGGUCAAUGGACGAGAGUCUGAACCAGCCAAGUAGCGUGAAGGAUGACUGCCCUAUGGGUUGUAAACUUCUUUUAUAUGGGAAUAAAAUGUUCCACGUGUGGGAUUUUGUAUGUACCAUAUGAAUAAGGAUCGGCUAACUACGUGCCAGCAGCCGCGGUAAUACGUAGGGGACAAGCGUUAUCCGGAUUUAUUGGGUUUAAAGGGAGCGUAGGUGGAUUGUUAAGUCAGUUGUGAAAGUUUGCGGCUCAACCGUAAAAUUGCAGUUGAAACUGGCAGUCUUGAGUACAGUAGAGGUGGGCGGAAUUCGUGGUGUAGCGGUGAAAUGCUUAGAGAUCACGAAGAACUCCGAUUGCGAAGGCAGUUCACUGGACUGCAACUGACACUGAGGCUCGAAAGUGUGGGUAUCAAACAGGAUUAGAUACCCCGGUAGUC